GGCGAUUCCCGCCUUGUUGUUAAUUGUAUUGUUUGCAGUGUUCUGUUUUGUUGUUUAUUGUUCUGUAAUUUUAUUUAAAUUGUAUGUAUAUCGUGUGUGCUAUCAAAGAAUCAUCCGGGAUGGCGAAAAUCUCGCCAACUAUGAUUGGUGUGGACCGUACACUGUUUGUGCAGAUAAGGACGAAUAUAUUUUUGCGGCAACCUGCAAAUAAGAACCAUAAAACAAGGAAAGGAUGCGUGUGCAAAACAUCGAAUUAUGCUACACGUCACUGUGGACGAUGCUGAAGUUUCCAACGUUGGAGUCCAACGAAAUGAUCUAAAAAACUGUCCAAUAAUUCCAGUAAUUCUCCAAUUUAUUUCCUGUCGAAUUUGUACUUUGUAUUUUUUCAAUCUACACAAUUAUGAUUCGUGAAAUAAAAAACUGAUGGAUAAAUCAUUUUAUUUUCAUUCAUUUCGUUGGACUCCAACGUUGGAAACUUCAGCGUCGUUCACUGUGGUUGUGUGAGACUUUGCGUUGCAUGGAAAUGAAAAAAUGCCAAAUGCAGAACCUUGCAGAUCUGUGGUACAGGCUUGUGGAUUGAGAGGAAGAUCACUGUUAGUCUUAUGUUAACCAGAGGAAAAUAGCCCUUCCUGUUAUAAAAUGGGUCGAUCAAUGAUGAUAAACUAAAUAAUCUUUUAUUCAAUCAUACCUGCAUUUGCAUCAGACAAUGUUGUUGUGGUUUAAUAAAUGGCCAAACUGGUGCAGCAUUGCUUCCGCUGCAGGUAUAGAAGUCACUAUCGAAACUGCCAAUGAUGUAAUAUUGGAGAUCAUGCUUUCAGUUUUUCGUUGCAAUUUUGGAUGGCUUCCGGCACAAUGGCGCUGAGUCCAGGAAAGAAAUUUUACCAACUAUUGUAACAAAGAUAAUUUCCAACUAAUAAUGAACGAUAAUAAGCUGCAUUGAGGUGAAGCCUCAUUUCUUUAUAAUUACCAAGAAUAGAAGCAAUGAAUUUUUCGGACGCAUAUGAAAAUUCCUAUGGACCUGUUUUCGAAAUGAGGAAAGCAAUGUUUCUCAACUCACCGUUAUUUUGCGCACUCGUAACGAAGGCCUCGCUGAUGCAUAAAGGAGGAACAGAAGAUUUAUACCGAUUCCAAUCAUUAUGCCAACCUCUAGUCGCACGAAGAGGCAGCAGAGAAAAGUUACAAGAGCAGGGAUCAAAUCAAUUUCUGAAAAAAGGUUUAACAACUUGGAGCUCAACCAUGAAGACAACCGCAGCGAUGAUAACAGCUGCAAGGGCAGCUUUGGGAAUGUAAUAGAGAUAAGGUGUGAGGAAUUGUAGAGAUACGAGAACGAGAAUUCCCGUAUAAACACCGCCG